UGCAUCCCAGGAGAUGACAUCCUCCUGACCCCAACCGCCUCCAGGCUGAUGAUGUCUGUUCUGCG
rnacentral:ncRNA from 4 species